rnacentral:lncRNA from 12 species
AUUUUCCCAAGGUAGGAGGGGACCAUCCUGUGCUGCAGCAAUCAGUCACUGAGCGUUGCCCAAAUUAGUUGUCUCACCAGAGAAGAGGUGAUGGAUCUCCUGUGGAGAGCUGAGAACCCCAAGCAGGAUACGGAGCAACAGCUGAGAGAACCAGGUGUACGUGUGCAAUAGUAGGGGACUUCCCUGCCUAAGGGUAAUUUUAUGGCACAAAUAAAUGUCCAUGGCCAUAAUGACUCUGCUUUCCUUCAUAGUUAUCACAUGAGAU